rnacentral:rRNA from 1 species
UACGUAGGGGGCAAGCGUUGUCCGGAUUUAUUGGGCGUAAAGAGCGUGUAGGCGGCCAGACAGGUCUGCUGUGAAAACUCGAGGCUCAACCUCGAGAUGUCGGCGGAAACCGUUUGGCUAGAGUCCGGAAGAGGAGAGUGGAAUUCCUGGUGUAGCGGUGAAAUGCGCAGAUAUCAGGAAGAACACCCGUGGCGAAGGCGGCUCUCUGGGACGGUACUGACGCUGAGACGCGAAAGCGUGGGGAGCGAACAGG